rnacentral:rRNA from 1 species
UACGUAGGGUGCAAGCGUUAAUCGGAAUUACUGGGCGUAAAGCGUGCGCAGGCGGUUGUGCAAGACAGAUGUGAAAUCCCCGGGCUCAACCUGGGAAUUGCAUUUGUGACUGCACGGCUAGAGUGUGUCAGAGGGGGGUAGAAUCCACGUGUAGCAGUGAAAUGCGUAGAGAUGUGGAGGAAUACCGAUGGCGAAGGCAGCCCCUGGGAUAACACUGACGCUCAUGCACGAAAGCGUGGGGAGCAAACAGG